UGGGGAAUUUUGGACAAUGGGGGAAACCCUGAUCCAGCCAUCCCGCGUGUGCGAUGAAGGCCUUCGGGUUGUAAAGCACUUUUGGCGGGAAAGAAACGUCGCGGGUUAAUACCCCGCGAAACUGACGGUACCUGCAGAAUAAGCACCGGCUAACUACGUGCCAGCAGCCGCGGUAAUACGUAGGGUGCAAGCGUUAAUCGGAAUUACUGGGCGUAAAGCGUGCGCAGGCGGUUCGGAAAGAAAGAUGUGAAAUCCCAGAGCUUAACUUUGGAACUGCAUUUUUAACUACCGGGCUAGAGUGUGUCAGAGGGAGGUGGAAUUCCGCGUGUAGCAGUGAAAUGCGUAGAUAUGCGGAGGAACACCGAUGGCGAAGGCAGCCUCCUGGGAUAACACUGACGCUCAUGCACGAAAGCGUGGGGAGCAAACAGGAUUAGAUACCCUGGUAGUCCACGCCCUAAACGAUGUCAACUAGCUGUUGGGGCCUUCGGGCCUUGGUAGCGCAGCUAACGCGUGAAGUUGACCGCCUGGGGAGUACGGUCGCAAGAUU
rnacentral:rRNA from 1 species